rnacentral:lncRNA from 1 species
AUUGAAAGAUUGUUUUUAAUUUAAACGUUAAUUAGAAUGUUAAUUCAGUUCUCAGUUCUGAUCACGCUUCUUAAUCAAUAUGCCAAGUUUUUACAUUUAGAACUUCUGUCUUGGAGUUCCCGUCAUAGUGCAGUGGAAACAAAUCUGACUAGGAACCAUGGGGUUGCAGGUUCGAUCCCUGGCCUCAUUCAGUGGGUUAAGGGUCUGGCACUGCCAUGAGCUGUGGUGUAGGUUGCAGACACGGCUCAGAUCUGGCAUUGCUGUGGCUGUGAUGUAGGCCGGCGGCUGUAGCUCUAAUUAGACCCCUAGCCUGGGAACCUCCAUAUGCCACAGGUGUGGCCCUAAAAAGACAAAAGACAAAGAAAAAGAAAAAAAAAAGAAAUUCUGCCUUGCAGUUUUGGAGAGUCUUGGUGACGGGGGGUGAGGGGUGGGUAGUAACACGGCCUCUGGAGUUCUUAUGCUUUGGUUUUGGUUCUGGUUUUAAUCACUCACUUUCAACUAGCACUUCAGCUGGUCUAGGUUGCUUGCUUAGAGGGGUGGCCCAGAGCUUCAUUCUUAGAAGUCUUUGUCCUUAGUUGCUUUAUCUUUUCAGGUCGUGGUGGCUGUAAUUGGCCGUGUUCGUUAAUACUGGGCACUGAAAUCGCCAAGGGACAUUCCAUGGCUCUCCUGGGUUCCGGAUAUACUGCCCCCACCUUACUGGAUAGUAGCAAUAAGGACUUGGGGGUGCUGCCACCCAAUAAGGUGGGGAGCAAUAUACCUGGAACCUCAUUCUCAGUCCACUGGCACAAAAGGCAAAACUGCUACGUGAGAAUCACAGCCUCAAAUACAGUGACAAUUGUACUGUGUCCCCUGGAGCAAGUGUUUUCCCCACACCCAGAAAAUAGAACUUCUGCCACAGCCUAUAUUUGUAGGAAUGGUCUGUACAACUUUCAUAAUCAGGCCACCAGGAUUGAUCAUGAAAGGACCAGUCCUACUUCUACCUCUUUGUUCAUGGGCCUGCACACCUCAGCCCUUGGUUCAGCACACAGAGCGCCCCACGUGUAAAGGGAUAUACCACAACCCCACAAGGCACUGUCCCCAAACUGGGGCCUUCACUGAACAUUUACCUAGUUGUUCCGCUGGUAGGCCAGGCUGGCUACUUCUAGGUAAUGGGUUAUAUUUACCAGUGAAUCAUGCGGUAACAAGCUCAUGGCCCAAGUGCCUUUGCUAUGAAAUGGGCCCCUUGACCUGGGUCAUACGUAGGAAACACCACAACAAUGAACCAGGCAUGUUGUUAGACAUCAGAUAACAGUGCUGAUGAAGGUUAUGCAACCAGAGAAUGCAAAUCUAUCGAAUUAUCUAUUCCAGGAAUAGCAUUUCUGCCUCCUCCAAGGUGUAAGAUAUCUGAUAUGGUCAACCGGCCAUCAGGUCGCUGGCGGGUCUCUCAAGAGAAAGCCACAUCAAGGCUCUGCGUCCGCCAGGCAUUGAGUCAUCCUUGUUGAGAGGGAGCCAGCAUCAGUGACUCUGCACAGCUCUCCUCCAUGCCACCCUGGCCGUUACCUUUAAGCUCACCUGACAAGUUCUAGGAUGCCAAGGAAAGCGGAGGUGAGGGUGGUGGAGGUGUUUAAGUCCCUCCCGAGGUGGUGCUAGAAGAAACCUGGCAGAUAUUAACGGUAAAAAGAUCUGCAUGCUUAGUUUCACCCACAUGAGUACAUUCAGAACUUCUCAGUCUUAUUCCUUCCUGGCCAUUGACCAACUGGCCAAGUCAUUCAUCAGGUCCAUGAAUCAGUGUGCGUAGGUAUCUUGGGCCAUAUUUCCCUUUAUAGUAACUCUACGGCCAAGGGUACCACUUUUAGCUCUGCCCAUUGAGGCCAUUACCCUGUAUUUUUUUUUGUUUGUUUUUUUGUCUUUUAGGGCCACACCCAUGGCAUAUGGAGGUUCCCAGGCUAGGCAUCCGUUCGGAGAGGUAGCCGCCAGCCUAAGCAACAACUUGUCCUUUACCAGACUUCCCGUCCCGGUGCAGCGGCAAUGAACCCGACAAGCACCCGUGAGGACAUAGGUUCAAUGCCUGGCUUCGCUCAGUGGGUUAAGGAUCCGGCAUUGCCGUGUAGGUCGCAGACACGGCUCAGAUCUCACGUUGCUGUGGCUGUGGUGCAGGCCAGCAGCUGUAGCUCCGAUUGACCCCUAGCCUGGGAACCUCCAUGUGCCACGGGUGCUGCCCUGAAAGGACAAAAAGAGAAAUACAUACAUACAUACAUAACUUGGGAACACACAGCAUGUCCAUUCAUUUAUGUGCGGCCAAUGGCUGGUUUCCCACCACGAUGGCAAAAUUGAGUAGCUGUGAAGGAACCUUAUGCCUCGCAAAGCCUAAAAUGUUUACUGACCGUCCCUUUAAAGAUAAAAUUCGCCAGCGCCUGCUCUAACACCGCUAAUCCAUGGCACGUAGUUCCUUAAAUUAUCACCUGUAAUUGGCUAGACUCAGCGGCCUAUGGAAGGCAAGGCUUUGGAAGAUCAAGUAGCGAUAAUUAUAGAACAUUAUGGAAUAUUCUUUCCAAAAUGAAGGGCAGCUAUUGCAUCAGUCCUCUCCAGUCACAAAGAACCAAGCACAUCUUUGGAUGUGGAAGAUUUCAGGGGGCUUGCUGCUGGAGCGUAUUUACUGAGUAACCCCCCAGGCUGCCACAGGGGGGCGAUGUGGCAUCUUGGAAAGUUCAGCUUCAGACUAGACGGAUGACUUGAGCCUAUUUUCUCACAUGCAAAAUGACCAUAAAUAACUUCUUCAUUAAAAAAAAAAAAAAGGAAUCCCCUUGUGUCACAGCAGGUUAAGGAUCCAGCGUUGUCACUGCUGCAGCUCGGGUCGCUGCUAUGGCAUGGGGUCAGUCCCUGGCCCAGGGAACCUCCAUCACAUGCUGUAAGCAAGGACAAAAACAAAAACAAAAAACUUCUUCAUAGGGUUCUGGUAACUAUAAAGCAAGCUAACACGUGAGAAAGCCCAUGAAAG